ACACUAUACGGUCUCUGAGUAGGCAGAGAAGAAAGGAGGAUUUAAGGAGAAGGGUUAAUAUAAACGGCCUAUGGAAUAUGAAAUAUAAGAUUUUCAACAUUAAAGAGAUGGGACGAUAAAAUAAGACUGGUUCCAGUAGAGGCGGCGCUUACUACAUUGUGGGGUGGGACAUGAAAAUCCUCAAACAAUCCGGGGCCGACUGUCCAAUCUGUUGGGAAAGGAUGGACUCGAAGCAACAGCUGAAAGCAAAGCUUGUCUGUCAACAUGUUUUCCACCAUCAUUGUUGGCAGAAUUACUCCAAAAUGACUACUGCGCCUGCCGUCUGUUGCCCCCUUUGUCGUGCCACACCCAUCAAAUUCCCGGGGGUAGAGCGACUCAAGUCAGACGUUAAGAUCCUCGUAGAUCGCUUCCGCUGCUUUAAACGCAAUGAUUUCCCGCCAGAUGGCGAUACACGGGUAGCCAUGAUUGAUGUUUGAGGUCAAAGUUCACACCAGAUUGGUCAUCCAUAGCCUUACAUUCCAGUCUAGUCACCGAUACUGAGGGACCGGUUUCGCCCGGGGGUCAAGGUAGUCCCCAACGGACACUUGAAUUGGUGCUGUUCCAAAUUUUGCACAAGAAACUUUACGGUAUAAACUUGUAUCUUGUUCACUACUUCGUUACCAGAAGCUGCCAUUACAAUUACGCAUUAUCCCGGUAUAAACUGUUUCAGGAGUGUAUGUGUUUUAUUUAUACCCAGGGUACAAGUAUACCGAUAUGUUAUGAUCUUUAACCAUGCACGUCUAUAGUACAAAUACUCAAAAUGUGAGAAGGGGUGGGGAGGGGUUUGCUUACAGCCUCCAUAUGUACACAAGCAGUCGUCCACACAGGUGCCAUGUUCAAUGGUUGUACAUCAUUCCAAUUUUCUGCUUUUCAACUUUAUUUUAUACUUGUAUAUACAUACACUGUUAUUUUUUUAAGAAUAAACUUUGUUACUUUU
rnacentral:misc_RNA from 1 species